UACGGAGGAUCCAAGCGUUAUCCGGAUUUAUUGGGUUUAAAGGGUGCGUAGGCGGAUUGAUAAGUUAGAGGUGAAAUGUCCGAGCUUAACUCGGGAACUGCCUCUAAUACUGUUGAUCUAGAGAGUAGAUGCGGUAGGCGGAAUGUAUGGUGUAGCGGUGAAAUGCUUAGAGAUCAUACAGAACACCGAUUGCGAAGGCAUCUCACGAAUCCGCUAUUGACGCUGAUGCACGAAAGCGUGGGUAUCAAACAGG
rnacentral:rRNA from 1 species